GUGAAAUGCGCAGAUAUCAGGAGGAACACCGGUGGCGAAGGCGGUGGGCUGGGCCGGAACUGACGCUGAGGAGCGAAAGCGUGGGGAGCGAACAGGAUUAGAUACCCUGGUAGUCCACGCCGUAAACGUUGGGCACUAGGUGUGGGACCUUAUCAACGGGUUCCGUGCCGUAGCUAACGCAUUAAGUGCCCCGCCUGGGGAGUACGGCCGCAAGGCUAAAACUCAAAGGAAUUGGCGGGGGCCCGCACAAGCGGCGGAGCAUGUUGCUUAAUUCGAGGCAACGCGAAGAACCUUACCUGGGUUGAACUACGCAGGAAAAGCCGCAGAGAUGCGGUGUCCGCAAGGGCCUGCGAUAGGUGGUGCAUGGCUGUCGUCAGCUCGUGUCGUGAGAUGUUGGGUUAAGUCCCGCAACGAGCGCAACCCUUGUCCUAUGUUGCCAGCGGGUAAUGCCGGGGACUCGUAGGAGACUGCCGGGGUCAACUCGGAGGAAGGUGGGGAUGACGUCAAGUCAUCAUGCCCCUUACGUCCAGGGCUGCAAACAUGCUACAAUGGCCGGUACAGAGGGCUGCUAUCCCGCGAGGGUGAGCGAAUCCCAAAAAGCCGGUCUCAGUUCGGAUUGGAGUCUGCAACUCGACUCCAUGAAGUCGGAGUCGCUAGUAAUCCCGGAUCAGCAACGCCGGGGUGAAUACGUUCCCGGGCCUUGUACACACCGCCCGUCACACCACGAAAGUCGGUAACACCCGAAGCCAGUGGCCCAACCGCAAGGAGGGAGCUGUCGAAGGUGGGAUCGGUGAUUGGGGUGAAGUCGUAACAAGGUAACCGU
rnacentral:rRNA from 1 species